rnacentral:rRNA from 1 species
AACACUUUACAGUGGAUGCACUUGGCCUCGGGGCGAUGAAGAACGCAGACUAACUGCGCGUCGGAAUGUGAACUGCAGGACCAUAACAUUCGACACUUUGAGCAUAUUGGCGGGACCGUGGUUUUUUCUACUGUCCAUGUCUUGGCUCAGGUCG